GCCAGGCUCUCCAGCAGAUCCUCCCUGUAACAAAGGCACAGAAGGAAAAGUAGCCUGUAAGAUAGAACAUGCAUCAUGCCUUUACGUUGUGCUGCAAUCUCUCGAUAUUUUGUAUGUACUUAUUGCUCUGAGUUUGUAUCUCUUUCCCACCUGUACUUACACUGUCUUUUUUCUGUGGCUUGUUAUUAUUUCUAUUGAGCAAUCUUCAGCCGAACUGGGAGAUCUUGCAGUGACUCACUUACUUGAACAUUAUUGCCUAGUUCUUUACACAAGACAGAUUGGAUAUGAAUGAGAUCUCUUGUCCUCAUGAGCAUUAUAUUUAUUUCACAAGACAUUUUCUUCAGAACUCUCCCUGCAAUAAAUUAUGUGACUUUGUGUAAUGACUGGGAAAAAAAAGAAAAGGAGAAAAGAAAAGCAGGUGAAACAUUUUAAAUGAAGUGUAGAACUGUAAGAAUAUACACGUAUGUAUCAUUUUCUGAUCAUCAUAACGUCAGCUGGGUGAAAGACUUUGGAGAGGUUUACUUCUAAAGAAUCACUUGCCCGGAUUUCAGCAACUGCCUUUGGAAGAGCCUGUAGUAAUGCAUUUCUUGAAACCCCUGUAUAAUCAGAGGGAAGGUGAGUAUGUUUGGGGUAGAUGGAACUGAGAUGGGACUUGGAGAUACCACAUGUCUGAGGUAUUUAUAGGAGUCUAAUCUUGGGACUGUAUCUUGUCAGUGUAUCCAUCAAAACUUCUCCAUGUUUCUUUGUUUCCCAGCUCUCCUUCCCAAUCUCUCAUGACAUCUUGGCCUUUUUACUCCCAUGUUCCUUGAUAGAGAUGUGAAAGAUAGAAGCCCAGAUGAAAUCCAGUUCUGGCCUUUCUCUGGGAGAGUGCUGGAGGAAAACAAAAUUUGAAUUGAAGCUCAAGUAUAAGUAAUCCAGUGGGCAAUUUUGAAAUCUAGGUACAAACUGGACUUUGAGUAUUGCUGGUUAGUUCUAUUUCUAUUUUCCCAGAAAGGGAAACUACAUUAUUCAGACAGAAUGUUCUGCUAGUCACAGGGCAGAAGGCCCUUCUGAAGCAGGUCUUACUUGUACCCCAGCUGUGCCAGCUGUUUUUAACUUAACAUCUCUAGUUGAUGAAACAGACAGGUUAGUAGGGGAUUCAUCUCAUAUGUGUCAUAUAAAAUCAGAGCUGACUUUAAGAAGGUACUGAUUUAUUUUUGUAUGGCUUCAAGUAGAAAGUCAAGUACCAAAGCAUCUGCUCACAGAGGGAGCCUUUGAGGAUCUAUUCAUUAAAAUGCACUGAAGAUUAAUCUGUGGCGCUAUGCCCAUCCUGGCUGAGCCUUAGUGUCCAACACGUAGUGUUAGGCAGGAGUAUGGGAAGAUAAAAAGGGUCUGCCAGACUAUUCCUCUAAGUCUAAUGCUGUACUGUGUUUAACUACUAAUGAGUUUGUUUCUCCUUGUGUUUAAAACUAGAACUAAACUUCUUCACCCAGAGUGCAGUACAGAACUAGGACGUGUCUUUCAGGGAAGUGGUGGGAUUUCUCUGCCUGGUGACUUUCAGGGAUCAUCUACACAAAACCAUCACCAACCUGAUCUAGUGUUGAUGUUAAUGCUGCUUCAAGCGGAGGUUGGCCUAGAAACCCCCGGAGGUCCUUUUCAUUUUUUUUUUUUUUUUCUUUUUUUCCCUAUGAUUUUACAGUUCUGUUAAGUGUGUUACAGUAAAAUAACCAGAUGGAUUUUUUGGAAGUAUAGAACAGAUACCCUGAAGGCAGAAAACAGUAUGUGGAGAGAGAAGACAAGGAGGGGGGAAGAAGCUCACUUCUUUCCAUUUAUGAGUUAGAGAACCAGGACUCUUACAAGGAGUUGAGAAAUUCAUCUUGAUUUGGAGAUGAGAAAAACAAACACUUCUAAGUAGCCUCUCGCUCUCCACCUGCCUGGCUUGUGAUCCUCAUCCUGUCUGGAGAAUGGUAGACAGUGUUUCAAAUGUUAGGGUCAGCCUGGUUCCUGCUCUAUCUAAUCAGUUCACUGUACAUAUCUUUUCCAGUAGGGAUUAAAUAUGUCUUGUCUCCUGUGGUUUUAUUAAAGGGCAGAGAGGAGGCAAGAAGCCUUUUACUUCUGACAAUGUUUCGGCUGCUUGCCCGAGGUUUCUGCUGCUGGAGAAGAGGGAAAGAAGAACAUACAGAUCUCAUUGCUGUGCCCACUGCUACUGCAGGAGACCUUGGUGGUGGGCUGGGUCCAUACCUCAUACUUGAUCCCUAUGUGCACAGGGCCAAAUCAGCAGGAGUGAGGGUAGGGGGAAUGUUAAAAAUGUGGAGGUUCAGAAAGUGCCUAGCAUCUUUCUCUAUCAGCUCCACAGGCAAUAGUUCUAAUGGUCCUCGUGCUCCUGGAACAGUUUUGCUGCCAGGGUUGCUCAGCUAAGGACACCUCACCCUGAGAUCUGAAAUUUAAUUUUACCCUUGGGACAAGCCAGUCUCAUUUGCUCCCUUUCCUGCAUGUCUUCCUCCUACUGGAUUAGGCAAAACCUGCUGCUGCCACUGAUACUGAUCAUUUUUCAUGCAAAGCUGGAGUUUUUGCACUCAGCAAGGGAAAGGACCGGCUCUGGCUGUUCUGCCAGUAGAUGUCCCUGCACGCACAGCUGCGGUGGAUGUGCUGUGUCUGCCCAAGGAGAACCAGCCUCUAAGAUGCUGAACUUCAUGUCACUUCUGAUGAGAUUUGUUCACACAGAUUUAUUUUUUUCCUUCCCAUUUGGUCUUCUGAUGUAAAGUUUGAUAAAACCCUUUAAAUAAUGACACUAAUUUUAUUUUAUUCUAUUUAUUUAUUUUUAAAAGGUCAUUAUUUCAUUGCAAAACACACUUUAUGUUAUCUAUACAUAUUUUUGUGUUUAUUUAUAAGGACAGUUAGAGUAGUGAGCUUAGAAAAAGACCCUGAACUGCUUUACUCUCUGCUCUUCUCUGCUGUUCUGCAGUCAAGUAACUUCCACAAUUUUUCCCUUCCUUGCUUUUUGUUCAAGCAAAGCUUGUUUUGGUGUGCUGCAAAGAAGAAAACAAGACCAAACAAAAACAAACAGUGCAGAGCACCAGAUCCUUGCUCCUUGGUGGACGUCGUUUGACAAUUUAACAGACAUCUGUGUGUCUCAAUCUUCAGCCUGCAACACAUCUUCUGUAAUAUGAGAAUUUAUCAGCUGGCUUUCAGAGCCACAUAGGAAAAUGAAGACAGAGGUUGCUUGAAUCCAGUUAGCUUUUCUGGCAAGAAGCAGGUAUCAUUUCACCCAGCUCAUAACCUAUUGCUUCCCUCACAAUCAUUGUUAUUCCAGGCCAAAGCUUAAACUCAAAAUCAAAACUGCAAGGACUUCGCACACUCUUCCACAGGUCAAAUCCUGCAGUCCUUCACCAGGCAAACUAAACCUCUACCUUGGUAGGUUUUUUCUACACAAGGACUGAGGCGUUUGCAGAAAGCUAGGAAAGCACAAAACAGUCUCCUUCAGCAGGGAAGGCAGUAAAAGAGAUUUCUACCCAACUUUCCAGCUCUGCUUUCCCUGAGUGUGAUGAGGAGCAGCAAUCAGAUUAGUGCUGUGUAGUUCAGCCAUCAAAGGUCCCACUAGCAGCAAAAAGCUACAUCUCAAGGCACCAGAGAUCUUAAACCUUAUCGAACACGGUAGUCUUCAGCUCCAAGCUGCAGAAAUUGGAGGGAAACUUCAUCUGCCUGCAUGGGAAAAUGUGUUGUCCCAUUUUCUGAGGAGCAAAAGUUCACUCCAACAUGUGGUGCAUGGGAGGUGUGCGUGUUUGGGGGUAGAGGGCAUGGUGACGUUAGGUAUGAGGAAUGGUGAAGCACUCAGCUGCUUUUUUUAUUAUUUUUAUUUUCCCCCUUGCACCCAAAUAUUUCUGCUCCUUGCAAAAAGAGGUCAGGUGUUGUAACUCUCCCCGGAUGGUUUUCGUACCGCCCAGAUGCACCGCUGUGUUUCUAAUAAAGCCACCAAGAGCAUAACCAGGAGCUCCCUGCAUGGGCUUACACGAUGUGAGCUGCUGCUUCAGAGGACUCCCUUAACUUGGGGCUGGAUGGACUGUAAAACCUUCCAAGUUAUUUUCUCCUAAUUCAAGUCAGCUGAGGCAUCAAAAUGUCGGGCAGAUGGACAAGAUCUUUGGCUGGAGCCAUCCUGUUUGCUGCUGCUGCUAGGGCUAUUGCAGUCAACACUUAGAGAUUUUACUUUAUUUAUUUAAACUUCAAUGAGUUUUUCAGAACAUUAGCCUUCACAUAAGCAUGUCAAAGGAGACUCUUGUGUGCUUUUUAGUACAAGAGCCCAUGCUCUCAGGACCACAAACUGCAAUG